rnacentral:rRNA from 1 species
AAUCAACGCUGGCGGCGUGCCUAACACAUGCAAGUCGAACGCGAAAGGGGCUUCGGCCCUGAGUAGAGUGGCGAACGGGUGAGUAACACGUGGGUGAUCUACCUUCGAGUGGGGAUAACGUUCCGAAAGGAGCGCUAAUACCGCAUGACGUUCUGGGUUUGAAGACCUGGAAACCAAAGCCGGGGACCGCAAGGCCUGGCGCUAGAAGAGGAGCCCGCGCCUGAUUAGCUAGUUGGUGAGGAAUGGCUCACCAAGGCAACGAUCAGUAGCCGGCCUGAGAGGGGCGGACGGCCACACUGGGACUGAGACACGGCCCAGACUCCUACGGGAGGCAGCAGUGGGGAAUUGUUCGCAAUGGGCGCAAGCCUGACGACGCAACGCCGCGUGGAGGAUGAAGGUCUUCGGAUUGUAAACUCCUGUUGACCGGGAAGAAUAGGCUUCGAGUGAAUAG